AUUGAACGCUGGCGGCAUGCCUUACACAUGCAAGUCGAACGGCAGCACGGGAGCAAUCCUGGUGGCGAGUGGCGAACGGGUGAGUAAAGUAUCGGAACGUGCCCAGUCGUGGGGGAUAACGUAGCGAAAGUUACGCUAAUACCGCAUACGAUCUAUGGAUGAAAGCGGGGGAUCGCAAGACCUCGCGCGAUUGGAGCGGCCGAUAUCAGAUUAGGUAGUUGGUGGGGUAAAGGCUCACCAAGCCGACGAUCUGUAGCUGGUCUGAGAGGACGACCAGCCACACUGGGACUGAGACACGGCCCAGACUCCUACGGGAGGCAGCAGUGGGGAAUUUUGGACAAUGGGCGAAAGCCUGAUCCAGCCAUGCCGCGUGCAGGAUGAAGGCCUUCGGGUUGCAAACUGCUUUUGUACGGAACGAAAAGGUUUGGCCUAAUAAGCUGAGCUCAUGACGGUACCGUAAGAAUAAGCACCGGCUAACUACGUGCCAGCCGCCGCGGUAAGAC
rnacentral:rRNA from 1 species